AUUGAACGCUGGCGGAAUGCUUUACACAUGCAAGUCGAGCGGCAGCACGGGGGCAACCCUGGUGGCGAGCGGCGAACGGGUGAGUAAUACAUCGGAACAUGCCCAGUCGUGGGGGAUAACACUUCGAAAGAAGUGCUAAUACCGCAUACGUCCUGAGGGGGAAAGCGGGGGAUCGCAAGACCUCGCGCGAUUGGAGUGGCCGAUGUCAGAUUAGCUAGUUGGUGGGGUAAAGGCCUACCAAGGCAACGAUCUGUAGCUGGUCUGAGAGGAUGAUCAGCCACACUGGGACUGAGACACGGCCCAGACUCCUACGGGAGGCAGCAGUGGGGAAUUUUGGACAAUGGGGGCAACCCCGAUCCAGCCAUUCCGCGUGAGUGAAGAAGGCCUUCGGGUUGUAAAGCUCUUUCGGCAGGAACGAAACGGUGAGCUCUAACAUAGCUUGCUAAUGACGGUACCUGAAGAAGAAGCACCGGCUAACUACGUA
rnacentral:rRNA from 1 species